GAUGAUGAACCAGACAGAAUUCAGUCCGUCUAGUAUUUGUUUUUCGAUUUUNAGGGCUUUAACGNUUAAAAGCUUCGUUUGUGACCUCUAUCGAGUCUCAUAACAGCUUGGUUUUGUAUGCAAGAGCAAUGUAACAUUCUGCUCCUUUGAGUUUUGACGUACUAGAUGCCUAAGGCGGAUCUUCGCUUGGUAUCUGUGGAACAUUUCAUUGGAAAGGAUUAAACCACAUGUUUUGACCUCCAGGCUAACAAGCCUAGAUGCCGAGAUUUCACAUCUCAUGCGCUCAAAGUCUUUAACGCGCCACAUCGACAAAAGCCUUUAAUGGCAAUCUGUGCAAAAAGUAAUGACCACAAAGUACUGUGGAAUGCACUCAUGGAGCGUUUCUCGAAACAUUCAUAUAACUCUACUUGUUGAGUUAUUAGUCAAGUGGAUUGCUUACCACCUUAAUUGACUACAUAUUGUCGAUGAUCUUUUGUGGCAUCAUGAUCCAUAAUCUUUAGCGGAUUCGAUCAUCAUCAAGUUCUCUAAGUCCUCCAAGUUGGUGUGGAAUUACCAACGAGACUUGAUUUUGAUCAUAUAAACAGGAAUUGUAUGUACGCUAAUGUGAUAAACUUAUUUGGGAUUAUCCCCUAAUGUGGGGACAACAAUAUGGGUCAUGGCAACGGCAGAAAACGUCGUGCCGAUGUCUAGAAAAGAGGGGGAGGUGUUGCCGGCUCUAAUAGCGACACUCCCGGUCUAGACACCAUUUUGUCAAAACUACUCACGUCAGCUCAUGACAUUAAUGCAACCGUUGUGGAUCUUCGGAUCGCUGGUUCAAGAUUGUCAAGCUCCUUUAAAUUGUGAAUGCAUACAAAAAGGUAUGGAAAAUCAAUAUGAGGACAAGAACGUCAUCCUCAUGAUCGCGAAUUUCAAAGAUUCGGAUCCUACUCUAGCUACCCAUGACUUUGAUGUCAUCGGCUAGACAUUGAUUUUCGUUCCAAGUUAUAUGUACUAAGGCGUUGUAUCGACGUCCUUUUGUCUAUUUGUAGACCUCGAUG
rnacentral:lncRNA from 1 species